CACAGUUUUAUACCAAUUUGAAAAAUUUACCGUUCGCGAUGAACGAAAAGAAUGGUAUUGGAAAGUCUAAACCGAAACAGAACCGGCACCAGGGAGAAUCUGCGCCUGAACUGCCGGUCGGACAUAUUAACUGUUACAACAUGACCAGUUAACUGCGUUCGACGUCAAUUCAAAACAUUAUUCCAGUGUGGUUGACGUGUAUAUUCGUCAUUGCUUGAUUUUACCUGCGCAUCCCGUAAGGAAUUUUGAAACUAAACCCCACAGCUAACAAGUUAAUUAAUCUUCGCCAAAAGAACAUGUAUCGUAACUAGAUAACGGAAAUUGAAACUGCGAACAUGCGCUUAACAAAUGAAACUGAAAAUCUUUUCUCGAAACUGCAACCAGUUAACCCACGC
rnacentral:misc_RNA from 1 species